UUCUCAUAUUUGCUCUCUUUUGGUCUCACAAUUUUAUAAAAACUAAUGAUUCCAAAAUGGUUAUUGGGGCAAGGUCGAACUUGGUUCUUAGAAGUUCCUUAUGCAUACUUUUAACCACUGAACUUAAGAAAACCGUUUUUGUAUUUAUUGAGUUAUUGCGACACGGAGUGCCCGGUAAGGUGCUAGUUAUUAAAAUCCAUUUUCACUAUAAUGCUCACGAGACCAUUCACGAAUUCAUUUAGGGUUUAGUUGUGAGUUAGAGUUUUGGAGGGAAAGGGAGAACAAGGUUAGAUAUGUAGUGUUAAAGUUUGAACUUUUACACUACAAACCUUUUCAUCUCCUCCCCUUCAAAAUCUCAACUCACAAACAAAGGGGAGGAAUGAAAGGUUUUAGCUUGUUACAAAACAUGAAUGUUCAAGGUACCAAGUUUGCUGCUAUUUAUUCAACACUUCAUUUCUUAUUUCCUUGGCCUGUACCUUAAUAUCAGUAGUACAAAUUCCAAACAUAUGGA